AGCAGCCGCGGUAAUUCCAGCUCCAAUAGCGUAUAUUAAAGUUGUUGCAGUUAAAAAGCUCGUAGUUGAAUUUUGGGUCUGGCCGGGCGGUCCGCCCUCUGGGUGAGCAUUGUUCCGACGUCGGGCCUAUCCUUCUGGUGAGUCGGCAUGUCCUUUAUUGGGUGUGUCGGGGAACCAGGACCAUUACCUUGAAAAAUUGAGUGUUCAAAGCAGGCGUAUGCUCGGAUACAUUAGCAUGGAAUAAUGAAAUAGGACGCGUGGUGCUAUUUUGUUGGUUUCUAGAACCGCCGUAAUGAUUAAUAGGGAUAGUUGGGGGCAUUAGUAUUCAAUUGUCAGAGGUGAAAUUCUUGGAUUUAUUGAAGACUAACUUCUGCGAAAGCAUUUGCCAAGGAUGUUUUCAUUAAUCAAGAACGAAAGUUAGGGGAUCGAAGACGAUCAGAUACCGUCGUAGUCUUAACCAUAAACUAUGCC
rnacentral:rRNA from 1 species